AACUGUCACUGUCUCGGUCUCAUUAUUCCUUCACCACACCUGUUAGCAUGCCUAGUUCUCCCUCCACUAUCAACUGCAGCCACAUUCAGCAAUUUCACACCAUUUUUCCUCCAACUUGUACAAAGUGCUUCUAAGAAAUGUCGGAAAUCUCUGCUUGAAGUACAUGAUGACUAGAAAUCUUCAGGACAGACUCUGGGAUUGUUAGCGCUGCCGCGCCCGGUGCUUCCUGGGCGCCACCGACGUCUGGGCCAUGAUUGAAAUAAUUGUAAUAUUAUAAUAUUCACCCUGAAAGUGGCAGAGCUGCGGAGGACUUGUUUGAGGAGCCGCUGGUUGACUGAGCGCAAACACAAAACGUGUGGUGGAGCGGCAGGAAACGUGUGUUUAGCUGAGCACCGAAGGGCUAGCGUAGCACCGUAGGGCUAGCGUAGCACCGAAGGGCUAGCGUAGCACCGUAGGGCUAGCGUAGCACCGAAGGGCUAGUGUAGCACCGUAGGGCUAGCGUAGCACCGAAGGGCUAGCGUAGCACCGUAGGGCUAGCGUAGCACCGAAGGGCUAGCGUAGCACCGAAGGGCUAGCGUAGCACCGAAGGGCUAGCGUAGCACCGUAGGGCUAGCGUAGCACCGAAGGGCUAGCGUAGCACCGUAGGGCUAGCGUAGCACCGAAGGGCUAGCGUAGCACCGAAGGGCUAGCGUAGCACCGAGGGGCUAGCGUAGCAACAGCUGGAGGCGGGAAGGGACUGAGCGCCAACGACAGCCACAUUUCAGCGCUUUCCUGGCAUCGUUGAGGUUCUGGCCUUGGCUGAUGGUGGCGGUACUAGAAAGAAGAUGGCCAUGCGGGUUCCCCUCGUUCGAAAGAUGAAGUCUCUGCCUUCCCAGAACAAAGCACAUUGUAUUUCUUAUGUGCAGCAGCAGGUGAUGAGACGAAUGUUCCAGGAAAAACAACACCAAGGGUUGAAAAACAUUUGUUUCUGUUUGCUGCUGUGCAUUUUUACACCACAUAGGGGACAAAUGUUAAUGGAAUAACACAUUUGCAUAUAUUAUGCGUUGUCAUUAACUUUGGCCAUUUUUAAUGGACAUCGUUAUGUAGGAAAUUAAGAUCUGAAAACAGGAAGUGGCCAAUUAGGCUCAGUGGGGAGUUUAACCUCACACCAAUAAAUAUGAACCUGCUCCGCUCCACGGUUGCAUCGCUCGGUACUGUAGACAGCUCCAGGGGUCAUGAAUGCACCACCGGGCCUUGAGGGGCAACAAAUGAUGUCAGUCCACUCGACAUCCUCAUCAUAUCUCUGGCAAAACGCCCGUCGUCAAGUCAGGGGGCCGUCAGCGUGGAGGGAAGCUUGAAUUCUUAAAUACGACUCUCAUUUAUUUAUUUCGCACAAUGAAUAUUUCUCAGGACCUCGGCCCCCGGGAUCGAUGCCUCCCCUCUUCGUCAGAGCGUUUCAUUAUUGACCGGCUCAGGCCACGUCACAGCGGUGGAGGUGAGCCCAGCAGGCGCGGCGGGCGCCUUUUUAACGGGGGCUGCCAGCGUUAAAGUGGCUUUGCUGUUCUUAAUCCACGCGUGACUAAAAACAUUUGCAUGGUAAUUCCGGAACAACAGCGUGCGCCUCCCUUCGCGCUCCCUAAGCUCUGCCGCUCGACUUUGGAAAGUUCACCCAGAGUUUCUGCAUCCCUGCUCUGAUUAUCCUCGCUUGUCCGGGCAGCGCUACACCUGAACCACAAAAAAAAAAAAAAAAAAAAAAAGAGGGAACGAAGGUGUCCUGUUGUAGAAAUUAUGCAUUGGAGGAAGAAUCCGUAUCCAUUUUUUAACCUUCUAACACUCCGCUGCCUCCCUGUUUCUGACUCUUUCACCCGUCCUUAUUCAUUCCGCACAGGCUCCAAACCCUCUGCUCACACUCUGGGAGAGCGCACACAGAAAACUACUGUCACAGGCUGAAUCCAUAUAAAAUACUGCUCAGAGAAAAUUGCCUCUAACACGUGUACUUGUACACAUCGUUACCUUUUGUAUUUGCAUUUACACAGAGUCUCAACUGCUGCGCUGCUUUUGUUGUGUGCCAUCUUGCCCACCUCUUUCAUACGAUCGCUCGCCUGCGCUGCUUUGUGUGUCGCUGCUUAUUUCGUAGCCAUGGCAGCGGAGUGGAGCUUAUUAACGCAACGUGGCCCCGCCUCUCCGUGACCCCUCUCACCUGGUGCUCACGUGCCGUUCGUUUGUUGUUACGUGUGCAGAUGUAGCGGGACAGAGAGAUCUGAAGACUUACACGGGGUCCGGAUUGAUGUCAUGUCCUCCUGACAUCCUUCCUCUUCAUCAGAUCUUCAGCUCAGCAAUCAGCCAGGGGACGGCGCUCCUCCGGGGUCCACCGGCUCCGGCUCCCGCUGGGAUCACACGUGUAAUUCAGGCCUGUCGGGGCACGAGCACGAGGCAGACGCGCGCGCUGGGUUGAGGUUAGCACGCGGACGCGGCGAUGACGACGGAAACGGAGCUGACCGGCGGAUGGUGCUGUGAGCUCCGCGAAUCAGACGGGGAACCGGAGGUUCUGCUGUGGCGUGAAAGGCAAAGCUAAUUUGGAGUUUAAAUAUGCGGGGAACACCUGGAAAGGACACGCAUGAGUCCCCCCGGUUCGGUGCAGCAGGCGACUCAUUUUC